rnacentral:rRNA from 1 species
GAUGAACGCUGGCGGCGUGCCUAAUACAUGCAAGUCGAGCGAACGGACGAGAAGCUUGCUUCUCUGAUGUUAGCGGCGGACGGGUGAGUAACACGUGGAUAACCUACCUAUAAAACUGGGAUAACUUCGGGAAACCGGAGCUAAUACCGGCUGAUAUUUUGAACCGCAUGGUUCAAAAGUGAAAGACGGUCUUGCUGUCUCUUAUAGAUGGAUCCGCGCUGCAUUAGCUAGUUGGUAAGGUAACGGCUUACCAAGGCAACGAUGCAUAGCCGACCUGAUGGGUCGAUCGGCCACACUGGAACUGAGACACGCUCCCGACUCCUACGGGAGGCAGCAGUAGGGAAUCUUCCGCCAUGGGCGAAAGCCUGACGGAGCAACGCCGCGUGAGUGAUGAAGGUCUUCGGAUCGUAAAACUCUGUUAUGAGGGAAGAACAGAUGUGUAAGUAACUGUGCACAUCUUGACGGUACCUAAUCAGAAAGCCACGGCUAACUACGUG